AGAGUUUGAUCAUGGCUCAGAUUGAACGCUGGCGGCAGGCCUAACACAUGCAAGUCGAGCGGAGUGAGGGGGAGCUUGCUCCCUGAUUCAGCGGCGGACGGGUGAGUAAUGCCUAGGAAUCUGCCUGGUAGUCGGGGGACAACGUUUCGAAAGGAACGCUAAUACCGCAUACGUCCUACGGGAGAAAGCAGGGGACCUUCGGGCCUUGCGCUAUCAGAUGAGCCUAGGUCGGAUUAGCUAGUUGGUCGGGGUAAAGGCUCACCAAGGCGACGAUCCGUAACUGGUCUGAGAGGAUGAUCAGUCACACUGGAACUGAGACACGGUCCAGACUCCUACGGGAGGCAGCAGUGGGGAAUAUUGGACAAUGGGCGAAAGCCUGAUCCAGCCAUGCCGCGUGUGUGAAGAAGGUCUUCGGAUUGUAAAGCACUUUAAGUUGGGAGGAAGGGCAUUAACCUAAUACGUUAGUGUUUUGACGUUACCGACAGAAUAAGCACCGGCUAACUUCGUGCCAGCAGCCGCGGUAAUACGAAGGGUGCAAGCGUUAAUCGGAAUUACUGGGCGUAAAGCGCGCGUAGGUGGUUCAGCAAGUUGGAUGUGAAAGCCCCGGGCUCAACCUGGGAACUGCAUCCAAAACUACUGAGCUAGAGUAUGGUAGAGGGUGGUGGAAUUUCCUGUGUAGCGGUGAAAUGCGUAGAUAUAGGAAGGAACACCAGUGGCGAAGGCGACCACCUGGACUGAUACUGACACUGAGGUGCGAAAGCGUGGGG
rnacentral:rRNA from 1 species